rnacentral:rRNA from 1 species
AUUGAACGCUGGCGGCAUGCUUUACACAUGCAAGUCGAACGGCAGCACAGCAGAGGUAACUCUGUGGGUGGCGAGUGGCGAACGGGUGAGUAAUACAUCGGAACGUACCCUGUUGUGGGGGAUAACUACGCGAAAGCGUAGCUAAUACCGCAUACGCCCUGAGGGGGAAAGCGGGGGACCCUAAAUAGAGCGCACUGGGGAGUGCGUUGUAUUUAGGGCCUCGCGCAAUAGGAGCGGCCGAUGUCGGAUUAGCUAGUUGGUGAGGUAAAGGCUUACCAAGGCGACGAUCCGUAGCUGGUCUGAGAGGAUGAUCAGCCACACUGGGACUGAGACACGGCCCAGACUCCUACGGGAGGCAGCAGUGGGAAUUUGGACAAUGGGGGCAACCCUGAUCCAGCCAUGCCGCGUGAGUGAAGAAGGCCU